UACGUAGGGAGCAAGCGUUGUUCGGAUUUACUGGGCGUAAAGGGCGCGUAGGCGGCGUGGUAAGUCACUUGUGAAAUCUCUGAGCUUAACUCAGAACGGUCAAGUGAUACUGCUGUGCUAGAGUGCGGAAGGGGCAAUCGGAAUUCUUGGUGUAGCGGUGAAAUGCGUAGAUAUCAAGAGGAACACCUGAGGUGAAGACGGGUUGCUGGGCCGACACUGACGCUGAUGCGCGAAAGCCAGGGGAGCAAACGGG
rnacentral:rRNA from 1 species